rnacentral:rRNA from 1 species
UAGGGAAUCUUCCGCAAUGGGCGAAAGCUUGACGGAGCAACGCCGCGUGAGUGAUGAAGGUCUUCGGAUCGUAAAACUCUGUUAUUAGGGAAGAACAAAUGUGUAAGUAACUAUGCACGUUUUGACGGUACCUAAUCAGAAAGCCACGGCUAACUACGCGCCAGCAGCCGCGGUAAUACGUAGGUGGCAAGCGUUACCCGGAAUUAUUGGGCGUAAAGCGCGCGUAGGCGGUUUUUUAAGUCUGAUGUGAAAGCCCACGGCUCAAACGGGGAGGGUCAUUGUAAACUGGAAAACUUGAGUGCAGAAGAGGAAAGUGGAAUUCCAUGUGGAGCGGUGAAAUGCGCAGAGAUAUGGAGGAACACCAGUGGCGAAGGCGACUUUCUGGUCUGUAACUGACGCUGAUGUGCGAAAGCGUGGGGAUCAAACAGG